rnacentral:lncRNA from 1 species
CCCCCACCGCCGGCCGAUCUAAGGUAUUUUUUCUUUUUUUUUUGCAUAUAAAAUGUAUAGUAGCUUAUUUGUGUACAAAGCUUUAGUUUGUAUGCAUAUAUACAAAGCUAUAGUUUGUAUACAAAGCUUUAGUUUGUAUGCAAAGCUUUUAUUUUAGUUUGUAUAGUUUGUAUAGUUUGUAUGCAAAGCUUUAGUUUGUAUGCAUAUAUACGAAGCUAUAGUUUGUAUACAAAGCUUUAGUUUGUAUGCAAAGCUUUUAUUUUAGUUUGUAUAGUUUGUAUGCAAAGCUUUGGUUUGUAUGCAUAUAUAUAGUAGCUUAUUUGUAUAAUUUGUAUGCAAAGCUAUAGUUUGGAUGCAUAUAUAUAGUAGCUUAAUUUGUAUAGUUUGUAUGCAUAACUAUAGUUUGGAUGCAUAUAUAUAGUAGCUUAAUUUGUAUAGUUUGUAUGCAUAACUAUAGUUUGUAUGCAUAUAUGCUUGGAUGAAAAUGUGCAUGCAUGUAUGCUUGUAUGCUUAUAAAAUGUUCAUGCUCAUGCAUCUAUGCUUAUAAAAUGUAUGCUUCUUUGUGAAUGUGCAUGCACGUAUGCUUGUAUGCUUAUAAAAUGUUCAUGCUCAUGUAGGUGACAUCGACCUCGACCUCAACCUCGACUACUUCGUCUACGGUGUAGCUUGGUGAGCAUCUCCCUCUAUCUCGCCUUCCCCUUUUGCUCUGUCCCGGCCAUCGAGCCGAUGACACUUGUAGUUUAAAUGUCAAAGUCGCGUAACCCUAUGCGUCUCCCGUCCGAAAGGGUUAUGUAAGCGUAACUCUUUCGGAUUGUCCACGUUUUUUGGACAGCCCGAGGGUGUGUAGAUUGGGUUCGUUUCCGUGCUCUAGUCCGGUCCG